GACGAACGCUGGCGGCGUGCUUAACACAUGCAAGUCGAGCGGAAAGGCCCUGCUUUUGUGGGGUGCUAGAGUGGCGAAGGGGUGUGUAACACGUGAGUAACCUGCCCUUGACUGUGGGAUAACUUCAGGAAACUGGGGCUAAUACCGGAUAGGAGCUCCUGCUGCAUGGGGGGGGUUGGACAGUUUCGGCGGGUGGGGGUGGACUCUCGGCUUAUCAGCUGGUUGGGGGGGUAGUGGCUUACCAAGGCUUUGACGGGUAGCCGGCCUGGGAGGGUGACCGGCCACAUUGGGACUGAGAUACGGCGCAGACGCCUACAGUGGGCAGCAGUGGGGAAUAUUGCACAGUGGGCGGAAGCCUGAUACAGCAGCGCCGCGUGCGGGAUGACGGCCUUCGGGUUGUAAACCGCUUUCGCCUGUGACGAAGCGGGAGUGACGGUAAUGACUAAAUAAGCACCGGCUAACUACGUG
rnacentral:rRNA from 1 species